rnacentral:rRNA from 1 species
AUUGAACGCUGGCGGAAUGCUUUACACAUGCAAGUCGAGCGGCAGCGCGGGGGCAACCCUCGGCGGCGAGCGGCGAACGGGUGGAGUAACAUAUCGGAACGUACCCAGUCGUGGGGGAUAACUAUCCGAAAGGAUAGCUAAUACCGCAUACGUCCUGAGGGAGAAAGCGGGGGAUCGCAAGACCUCGCGCGAUUGGAGCGGCCGAUAUCGGAUUAGCUAGUUGGUGGGGUAAAGGCUCACCAAGGCGACGAUCCGUAGCGGGUCUGAGAGGACGACCCGCCACACUGGAACUGAGACACGGUCCAGACUCCUACGGGAGGCAGCAGUGGGGAAUUUUGGACAAUGGGGGCAACCCUGAUCCAGCCAUUCCGCGUGAGUGAAGAAGGCC